AUUGAACGCUGGCGGCAGGCCUAACACAUGCAAGUCGAACGAGUGGCGGACGGGUGAGUAAUGUCUGGGAAACUGCCUGAUGGAGGGGGAUAACUACUGGAAACGGUAGCUAAUACCGCAUACCAUCAGAUGUGCCCAGAUGGGAUUAGCUUGUUGGUGGGGUAACGGAUCACAAAGGCGACGAUCCCUAGCUGGUCUGGUGGGAGGACCAGCAACACUGGAACUGUGACACGGUCCAGACUCCUACGGGAGGAAGCGGUGGGGAAAAUUGCGCAAUGGGCACAAGCCUGAUGCAGCCAUGCCGCGUGUAUGAAGAAGGCCUUCGGGUUGUAAAGUACUUUCAGCGGGGAGGCGUUACCCGCAGAAGAAGCACCGGCUAACUCCGUGCCAGCAGCCGCGGUAAUAC
rnacentral:rRNA from 1 species